UUGUUUAUUUUUGUUUCACUCUGACGGCAAUAAAAAUCAGAAUUUAAAGGUCUUUGGCGAACACUCGUCGAUAAUAUAUCGGCGUGAGAAUACUCCCAAGGUUCGCCAAAGCAACGAUAGUAAUUUGUUAACAAAGGGUGAAGAGGCAAGGCCGAAGCCCCUAGGACCAAAGUCCUAUCUCUUUAAUGAUCCUUCCGCAGGUUCACCUACGGAAA
rnacentral:misc_RNA from 1 species